CCCCUCCCUCUUAGGUUGCUGCCUCUAGGAAACAAUAACGGGCUACUCAUUGCUGGUACAUUGCCAUUUUCAAUCAAGCUCACUCUCAGAUCUCUUUGACUAAAUCGAGAUCCACAUCUCCAGAGAUCACAUGGAUCACACCAGCAGUCGGUUGGUUGCUCGUCCCCUUAUCAACCGACAGUCGAGAUUGUUGAUCAGCCACCUCACAAUCCUCGUGAUUAAGAUAGCCACAUCUUAUAAGGGCUUCUAUCUUGUUUUUCAGCUGGAUGCAAUCCUCUGUGUCAUGGUCAUGAUCUCAGUGAAAUCAGAAUACUUCUUGUAAUUGUGAGAGGUUGAUGGGCCUUUCAUCGAUGGAAGCCUUCGAAGGUACUUCUAUUGUUCGAUCUUCAUGAGGGUUUGAGCAUGGGGGAUAGAAAGGGGAGCAUACCUAUCGAACUUAUAGGCUGGGCUUCCCAAUCUAGGGCUAGAUCAUUGCUAUGGGGUUUCCUUCUCGAUACAGGCCGCGCUUGGUUCUUCUCAAGCUCGCUUCUUCUUUUUGGAGGGUCGGCUUCCUUUGGCUUCCCAUCCAUUAGUCGCACCUUCCUCUGCUCGAGCAUACUUUAGUGCUGAGGAGCUCAGAGUAGGUCCUUGAAAACUUCUUGUCCAGAGAGUAGAUCAACCUAGACUCAUGCAGUCCAGGCUUCAUAGCUAAUAUGGUGAAGGCUUCAUUUAGGUCAUGGAUCUCUAGGGUGGCAGCACUAAAGUGCACCAUAUAGUCCCUUAAGGACUCCCCUUCCCUUUGUUGGACUAACAAAAGGCUGUCAGAGUUUUGUUGCUAUCUCCUGUUGCUGCUAAAGUAUGCCAUGAACUACUUCUCUAAUUGUUCGAAAGAGUGAAUGGUGCCCAGUUGUAGGCCCAAGUACUAGAUCCGGACAGACUUCUUGAGAGUCGUUAGAAACGCAAAAUAGAGAAGGGGCGUUAGUCAUCCCUUGAAU
rnacentral:lncRNA from 1 species